AGAAUGAACGCUGGCGGCAGGCCUAACACAUGCAAGUCGAACGGGCACUUCGGUGCUAGUGGCGGACGGGUGAGUAACGCGUGGGAACAUACCCUUUGGUACGGAAUAGCCUCGGGAAACUGGGAGUAAUACCGUAUGUGCCCUUCGGGGGAAAGAUUUAUCGCCAAAGGAUUGGCCCGCGUUGGAUUAGGUAGUUGGUGGGGUAAUGGCCUACCAAGCCGACGAUCCAUAGCUGGUUUGAGAGGAUGAUCAGCCACACUGGGACUGAGACACGGCCCAGACUCCUACGGGAGGCAGCAGUGGGGAAUCUUAGACAAUGGGGGAAACCCUGAUCUAGCCAUGCCGCGUGAUCGAUGAAGGCCUUAGGGUUGUAAGAUCUUUCAGUGGGGAAGAUAAUGACGGUACCACAGAAGAACGCCCGGACUAACUCCGUGCCAGCAGCCGC
rnacentral:rRNA from 1 species